rnacentral:rRNA from 1 species
AGAGUGGCGGACGGGUGAGUAACGCGUGGGAAUCUGCCCUGUAGUGGGGGACAACCCGGGGAAACCCGGGCUAAUACCGCAUACGACCUACGGGAGAAAGGGGGCCUCUGCUUGCAAGCUCUCGCUAUAGGAAGAGCCCGCGUCCGAUUAGCUAGUUGGUAGGGUAAAGGCCUACCAAGGCGACGAUCGGUAGCUGGUCUGAGAGGAUGACCAGCCACACUGGGACUGAGACACGGCCCAG